ensembl:snoRNA SNORA70 Small nucleolar RNA SNORA70
CUGCAGCAGAUUAAACUAAUUUAGUUGCUUUCCUUGUGGGGGCCUGGUGUGCAAUGGCUACAAGGAGCAGCCUCUUGAGAGUGGAUGCAGCCUGCUGCUUGUUUAGGUUGUCCUAAGAGAUCUUGGGAACUGUU